CGGCGGACGGGUGAGUAACACGUGGAUAACCUACCUAUAAGACUGGGAUAACUUCGGGAAACCGGAGCCAAUACCGGAUAAUAUAUUGAACCGCAUGGUUCAAUAGUGAAAGACGGUUUUGCUGUCACUUAUAGAUGGAUCCGCGCCGCAUUAGCUAGUUGGUAAGGUAACGGCUUACCAAGGCAACGAUGCGUAGCCGACCUGAGAGGGUGAUCGGCCACACUGGAACUGAGACACGGUCCAG
rnacentral:rRNA from 1 species